UCUGUGCACAGCUUCCAGAUUCUUCCUGGGCCGCUUGAACAUCUCCUCUUCCCCUCCCCUCCCCAGCAAGUGCUUCUGCUUAUAGAACUUUGGAGAGAGGCCUGUUAAUCUUGCCUCCAACACAACAGACCAAUGGAAUGAACUUUUUCAUGCUCUGAGAAGAGAUCAAUAUAAGCCUAAGGUCUUCAUGUUAAGCCUGUUAUCAGCACCUGCAGACUCAUAAGCAGCUCUCUGAUGAAGGAUGUAAGCUAACAACGCUUCUUGAAGGUUUUUGAAGACAGUUUACUGAGGUGUAGUUGGCAAAGCAUAAAAUACACUCAUUUUGAGUGUAUAAUUCAUGGAUUCCUUUGUAUCUUCACAGUUGAGCAAACACCACAGCAAGGUAACCCUGAGCUGUUUUCUGCAAUCUCCUCACCUUCCCAUUUGUUUUCAUACCUACCCUCUGUUUCUAUCGGGCUGCUGUUGGGAACAUUCUAUAUAAAUGAAUCUACAUAGCAUGAAGUCUUUGGGAUCCAACUGCAUUCAGUACGACUGUAUGCGUGGGCUUCACCCACAUUGCAGCAUUUACCUCCAGCUCAUUUUUAUUAUAUUCCAUUGUGAGAACUGAUGUCAUUUUGCUUAUCUAUCCACACCAGUUGAUAAAUGAUUGGGUAGAAAAAUGUGAACGUCUGGGCACAAGCCAUUAUGUAGACCUGUUUGGAGAUUCCUUGCUAGGACACUGAAGAGACUUUGUUGUGCUACAUGGUAAAUUUCUAUUCAGCUUUUUUUUUUUUUUAUUUUUUUUUUUAAAAAAGACAGGGUCUCUUCUAUGUAGUUCUGCCUGUCCUGAAACUCACUAUGUAGACCAGGCUGGCCUACAGCUCCCAGAGGUCCUCUUGCCUCUGUGCUGGGAUUAAAAAAGUGUGUGCCGCACCUGGCAUACUCAACACUUUAAAAGAAACUUCCAAACUGUUUUUCAAAUGAGAUAGACCAUUUUAUAUUCUUAGAAAUAUAUGAGAAUUCUAGUUUUUUUAUGUUCUUGUCAUCACUUGUUAUUUUAUGUCUUUUUUAUUAUAGCUAUAUGUGUAUAUAUAACAGUAUCUUGCAGAGGCUCGUUUCAUCCACACAUUAUUUAGCCACUCAUCAUAUAAAUGAUGACUACUAUGUUUUAGUCCCUCAACUAGGUGACAGGGACACCAUAAGUAAAACAGUGUUCCUAACUGCAGUAAGUUCAAAGACCACUGGAAGUUAAAAAAUAAAAAAAGUACUAGGUGUGUUUUAUUGUUUCUUUUACUCCUGAAACUUUCAUCAUCAUCAUCAUAAUCAUCAUCAUCAUCAUCAUCAUCAUCAUUUGUUAUUAUUGUUGUUUUGUCAUCAGCUUUUGUUAUUGUUGCUGUUUUGAGACAAGAUCUUAGUAAAUUACGUUGGCUGGGCUGGGACUCACUACUGUAGCUCAAGAUGACCUUGAACUCAUGGAGAUUCGGUUGCCUCUGCCUCUGAGUGCUUGUUGGACAUGCAUAUUUAACUCUUAAGGUACUACCCAAAGUCAAGCACGGAGACCCAGAGACUUGCCUGGUGAGGUUAUCCUGGAAUCAGGCAUGAAAGCAGACAAGUCAUGUUGUCUGGACUGAACUUGCCGCUGCUGGAAUGUGUUUGAGGGAGGCAAAGGGAGGCAGAGCAGAGGGAGAAGAAAACCGACUCAGACGUGGAUAUGAGAGAAGACACACAAAGACAUCCUGGGUGAUCUGUUCCAUGUGCUCUGGCGUGUCUGCUGCGCCCGACAACUGUUACUCCUCAGACCCUGUGAGGUGGCUGGUUCAUUACUGUUGACUCCACUCCCUAUUUUACACGAGCUGCUUUGAGUAAGAUUCUGUUGCUUGUAAUUAGAAGAGUUUUGGAGAGAAACAUUCACAUUACAGAUUUGUGAUCAUUCUAUUAAACCUCGUUCUAAGCCCUUGUAAACUGGAUUUAUCUAUUGUCCAUUAUUUACCACCUUUUUUUUUGUGUGUGACCCAGGAUUGACCCAAUCAUUUAAUUAUCCAUAUUGUAAAGGCAAGCAGUUUAGCUCAUCCUCUCAAAUUCUAUGUUUUACUCUGUAGAGAAUUUGGUCUUAUGCUUGUUUGUUUGUUUGUUUUUAGAUUCCUUUUUGAGACAAAGUUUCUCUGUGUAAAUAGCCCUGGCUGUUCUGGAACUCACUCUGUAAACCAGGCUGGCCUUGAACUCACAUAGAUCUGCUUAUCUUUAUCUCUCAAGCGUUCUAGUCUCAAAGGCCUGCACUGUCGAACCUGGUGCUUGCUAGUUUUCGUUAUUGACUCUAUACAAACUAAAGACAUCUACAAAGAGGAAGCUUCAGUUGAAGAGUCAGCCCCAUCAGAUGACCUGUGGGCGUGUCUGUGGAAUAUUUUCUUGGUUGAUGUAGGAGAACCCAGCCUGCUGCGGACACUACCAUUGUUAAGGAAGACAACUUGCAUUUUGUAAGAAAAGCAGCUGAUAGAGCCAGAGGGAAUAAGGCAGGAAGUAGCAUUCCACUAUGGUCUUUACUUCCAUUUCUGCUUCUAGGAUCAUGUGUUGAGGUCCUGCCUUGACUUCCCUCAGUGAUGAACCUGGAAGUGUAAGAUAAAAUAAAUCUUCUCCUCUACAAGUUACUUUGGUUCACCUUGUUUUAUUACAGACACAGAAACCAAACUAGGGCAAGUGUCCAGUGUGGUCAUACUGGGAGGUGAGAUGCAUCCUUUGACAGGUUAAUGAUUAACGAUCUGUCCUUAGGUCACUUUCCUCAUAAGGACAUACUGAGUUGCCUGAAGUAAGUUUUUGCAUCAAAACCAGUUGUUUUAUAAGUCAAACCCAGUUGUGUAUCAUGCUUCACAGCUGUAUUCUCUUGCCAUGAGCACAAAGUGGUAAAUAAAUUUUGGAUUUUUAACAUUUAAAAUUGUAAGCUAAAAAAGUCUCUAUUCUGCAUAAAUUUACCCUGUCUUGGGUAUUUCAUCAACAAAAACUGUAUUAAUAUACCUGGCUAUUUGCUUUUUAUUUAAGAAUCCUACUAUCUACUUACCUGCCGAUACCACUAGAAAGAUGGUGGGAAUGAGAAAAGUAUUGGUGGGACUGUGGUAAGCUUUUGUUCCUAGUGCUGCCAGUUAUACUGAGCAACAUGAAAGGAUUAAAAGAUGUAUGAGAAUAGUUCACAAACGAGAUACAAGGAAAGAGAUAGUGUCAGACCCAGUGAUGCAUUCCUCUUAUGCAUGAGGCUGCAAUAAAGAUAGAUGAAGCCCAAGCAUUAACCCAAAGCCAAUUCUGUCCCCAAAGCCUGAGAAGUAAAUCAUGCUAAAAGUGAACAACUUGUGCCAUGAGUAAUUCAUUUACAGCGACGAAACAGAGGGCUGAACUGGAGGUCAUAAAAUGCCAGAAUUGUAGUCCUGGGGAAAGAGGUGCAAAGAUACCUAACACCCUCCUGUAUUCUGUUCUUCCUGGAAAGAAGUCAUGGAAUGCAGACGCGGAUCCUGUCCUUUCAUCCUGUCUGGUUUCCCAGAAGCAGACUGGAAGGCUCAAAGCAAUCCCAAGACUCCUCCUGGAACUCCCGCGUGGAGAUGAGGGCAUACCAAGAUGCUGUCUCAUCUGUCUUCUCUCCUCACCAAACUACCUGUGACACGGAAUGAACUGGAGUCACUAGCCCUGCGCCCACCUGAGGAGGCGAAAAUUCCAUGGGUGGAAAUGAGGAAAGAACUGGAAGUCUUCCUGGAUUCACUUCUGGCAAUGGUUCCCACUCUUUCUGUAUCCAAGCUAUAAGUGUAUUUCCUGUAACUUGAUGCUGAUAAAGAGAGCAGAGCUGAGAGACCCCCCACGGAAACCUUGCUUCGGAAAUGGCCGAGCCCAGGCCACUCUCCCUCUGGCACUCUCGAGGCAAAGCCUUAGAAGCUAGAGUGAGCAGGACAACCUCACAUCAACGUUGGAACAAUGGAAACCUGGCAAAGUUCGGGUCAAGAGGGGCGCGAGCAGCGGAGCCAAUCUACCAGGACUGACUGCGCAUGUCAGCAAGCGGCCUCACCAGAGCCUAGCCACAUCCCUGUCCAUGGUAAGGGAAAUGGGAUGAGCAAUAGGCUUAGAAUUCCACUCUCAGCUGGAUGAGCUCUGAAAUAGGGAAUUUUGUCCUUAGCUGUGGCUUGCAAUACCCUAAGCGGUCAUGGAACUUAAAAAAAAAAAAAAAAAAAUUCCAUGAAAAAAUCUGGGGCAGCUCCAUGUUUCUAAGCAAAACUAUGAAAACCUAAUUCAAAAAUCAGAUGUGUGAUGAAUCCAGGAGAUGUCUGGGAAUUCUCUUUUGGGUGGGUAAUGCAUGACUUCACUGCUGCCCUUGUUUUGAACAUGCAACAUACAAUCUUUGUCCUGUGUACACGGCCAUCCUAUGUAAUAAUAAAGAAAGGCCGCCAAAGUACCUCAGUUCAGAUUUGAACUUGGCAUGUUGUGAAUUUCACUGGUUUUUCUGUAACCUUACAAAUAAUUUUCUGCUCUUUUAGAAACAGAAUGAUGUAAUUGUGGAAAGAUGUUCAAUGUUUUCCUACCACAGUUUGUCAGUGUGUGUCAAAUUACUAUAUCUUUGGAAUAAAAAUGCUCCAUGUUAAAGAUUGCUGUUUGUGUUGCUGAGUUGAGCUCCAUAAAAAAUUAAAAAAAGAAAGCCAUUAAAUGAACUGUAGCUUGAGAUUAAGAUAGAAUUUUCAAAAUAUGUCUGCAAUAGCAUUCUAAACAUAUUUAUACUUCAUAUUUACGUGAAGAGGUAGCGUCACUAUUGAUUAUAAAGUCAAAUAUUAAUAGUCUCUGAAAAAUGUUGAAGUUACUCUGUCUUACAGCAUCAAGAAUUCAGAAAAGAGAAUAUUCUUUGUAAUAAACCAACAAGCACUGCUAUUCUGUUAGCAUGCAGAUUUGUGUUCAUUUUAAAUAAAAUGGCAAAAUUGUAUGUAUCCCAGAGAUUAGUUGUUGUGGAAUAAAUUCAUGGUUUAUAAUCAGUGAA